GGAGAGGGAGAGAGAGGCAGUCGCUCCAUAUAUCGCUUCUUGCACCUCUGGAUCAUUAUACACUUACCUCCAUUCUUACCUGGAGUUCUUCUGUCACCGGUCCCUUGCCCCCCAACUCACUGCCUGCCUGAAUCUUCCUCCCAGCUGCCAUCGCACCGUUCACUCGACCUCCUGUCGAAAAUAUGGAAAUUCACCUGCCUGCCCUCCUGCUCACCACAACCAUCCAACGCUUCAGGAAAUAAUGUCUGACGUCUUCCUUCACCUGCUGCUCACUUCGCCACUGCCCCUGGAGAGUCACCCCUCCCUCAAUAGCCUCUACUUGCCAGCCUGCCAAGAAGUCACGCUCAGCAGAUCUGUCUGUGGUUUGGCUGUCAUCACACCACAGCGAAGACCAUCUGCGGGUCAGAGAAUAAUAAUUUACUUCCAUCUGUCUGUUCUGUUUUCCAUCCAUUCCUACCUCCAUAUCCAAACCCAUUCAUCUGGCUUAUGUUGUAUCCAUUUGUUCAUUAAUGUGAAUUGUAUUUAGAUGCUCAGUCUGUCUCUGCACAGUCAUCAUUAUUAUCCUUGUUUCCUUUAUUUUAACAAUUAGAUGAGAACUCUUGGUCAGCAAGUAUCUUGACCAAGAGCUCUUAAAGAGUUGCUUGGUCCUUUGAGAACUUGUGGUGUUUAAACCUUCAUUUAAGCACGGUUUUUUUUUCAAUGCAUUCAAUAAACACUAGAUUAUUUUCCUGCAAAUCCGAUGGCAUGACUGUCAGAUUAGAAAAUUAAACUCUUGCUACUGCCUGACAGUUAGAGAUCAGAGGCUACUUGACUAAUUACUUUCUAAACAUGUUAUGACGGGCGGUGAUGCAGGUUUCUGUUGAUAGAAGUAAAGCCCCUGGAGGUUCGUGCUGUGUCAUCGCUGCAAAAACAAAAAACAAACAAAUGAACAAUUUUGUGGUCACAUCACAUUAGCAGUGAUCCAAGGAAUGCCAAUUGAAAGAUGCCUCUGCAAAAACAAUCUGGAGAAGGCCUUUUUAAUUUAUAUUCAUGUUUUGUCAGUGUUUUGUUAGACUUCUCCGAGAGGGUUAUAGUCUGUCACACAAAUAGCCCUUUAAAAUGUUCACUAUUACAGCAUGAAAAUGAUAAUGACAUUAACUACAUGAGGAAAAUAGAUAUGUUCUUUACCACUCUUAAAUUUCUCUGCCUCUCAUGUUUGUGAAAGAGCAACUUGCUUCGGGUAAAGACAUUUAAAGUGGGAUGGAAUGAUCUCAAACCUCAGAAUCAGUAAUUGAUGAUAUGUUGACAGAUUCACUUACUGAAGCACUAUAAGUGCACUGUGUGAUCUAACACUACCCUACAUCUCCAUUCUCCAUGUGACUGCUCAAUAAAGCUUU